UGGGGGAUAUUGCACAAUGGGCGAAAGCCUGAUGCAGCGACGCCGCGUGAGUGAUGAAGGAAUUCGUUUCGUAAAACUCUGUUCUAUGGGAAGAAAAGGACUGUACCAUAGGAGAAAGCUCCGGCUAAAUACGUGCCAGCAGCCGCGGUAAUACGUAUGGAGCGAGCGUUGUCCGGAAUUAUUGGGCGUAAAGGGUGCGCAGGCGGCUUUACAAGUUGGAUGUGAAAUAUUGUGGCUCAACCACAAACGUGCAUCCAAAACUGCAAAGCUUGAGUUAAGGAGAGGUAAGUGGAAUUCCUGGUGUAGCGGUGGAAUGCGUAGAUAUCAGGAGGAAUACCGGUGGCGAAGGCGACUUACUGGACUUAAACUGACGCUCAGGCACGAAAGCGUGGGGAGCAAACAGG
rnacentral:rRNA from 1 species